AAAACAUUAAGUUAAAAAAACUAAUCGCCUUCAAAGCGAUAAAUAGAAUUAUUCUAUGUUUUG
rnacentral:tRNA from 1 species